GUCGCGUUGACUGCCACGCGAAUUUUAUAUGUAUUUAAUCAUUUUUCCAAUAUUUGAUUUUUCGAGUAUUUAAAUCUCCGCGUAAUUAAAUUUCGAAAUAAUUAAAAUUUUCAAAUAUUCAAAUUUUCAUUCAACGUGUAGAAGCACAUAUUGUAUAAAAAUUACUUGUCGGUAGAGUAAUAUAGCAGGUGAUGAAAAUCGGAUCCGUAGAGAACAUGUUGAGAUGGUUGCAUACGUUGUCAUGCAGAUGUUUAUAGCUUGACAUGUCCUUGGUAACUCUGUUUCCGUUUGAUAAACGACAUUGCUACUGACUUACAUUCCUUAGUGUUUUCCUUUUAUUUUGCAUAUCUCCUUUUUAUUUCUACCUUGGGAUAAUUGGAGCUUAAGGUGAUAGAGGACUUAUAGUACGUUUUGAAUUUGUCAGCCUUAGUAUUUUAAUUUUUUCGAUCUUUCCUUCGUUUUUGGUAUUUGUCGAAGAGCAACUGAGAUUUAAGGGACUGAAAUAUUAUGUAUAAAAGGGAUACCGAGUUCGGAGAAAGGAGACCCUAAACUAAUGGAUUACCCGAAAUACGCGUGGAACAGGGCACGAGGCGCCUUUCCCCGAUCUUUCCCGACGUCGCGAUUGUUGUAAUCAACUUUCCGACCAAUUAAAACUCAAUAAAAGCAGGAUGUGGCGCCAGAAAUAUAACAACCAGCAUACGACAAGUCAUUGCGCAGCCAUGCACAACGCGAUACACAGGUGGAGAAGAUCUAGCGAUAAAACCAAAAACUGGAAACGUAUCGAUGUUAAUUCUAACUGUAACGUCUCUCAAUCUCAAAAUACAUGAUCGUAAAACGAAAAUAGC